GAAGUGCGAACCAAGCUGCGGUACAAACCGCGUGAGACUUGGAGCGGGUGCCCGCAAGGACACCCUGCA
rnacentral:ncRNA from 1 species